rnacentral:lncRNA from 1 species
CGAAGCUCCUGCCGUGUAUCAAGCAACAACAAAUUGCACAGCUGUGCCCUCUCAUUUCAUUCAAGAAACAUGUGGAAAAGCUCUUGCAUAGCAUUUAUACCACAAGAACUGCAACAUGCUCACACUGUUGGCAUCAAGAGUUGAUCAAUUUAUUUUUAUCGAAAUCUGCAAUCCUGUGAUCAGAUUUACCAUGUCUCUUUCUUCCUGGUCCCUUUGUUCUAAUAUGUUAAAAAUCUGCAAGCAAAUUAAGUGCAUUUCAGGUUAUUCUAAAAUCUAAAGCUCAUAGAUAAGCAAUACAAAGGACAAAAGAAAACAAACCCCAUCUAAUGAUGACUUAUCAUAGAUCAUGUACAGAAGUUCAAUGUGAGCACACCCUAGGGUUGCAUCUAACUUUUGUGUGCAUGUGCAGCUACUAAAAUGACCCAUUCACUAAGAAAC